rnacentral:rRNA from 1 species
GACGAACGCUGGCGGCGUGCUUAACACAUGCAAGUCGAACGAUGAUGCCAGCUUGCUGGUGGAUUAGUGGCGAACGGGUGAGUAACACGUGAGCAACCUGCCCCUGACUUCGGGAUAACCGCGGGAAACCGUGGCUAAUACCGGAUAUGACGCGCUAUCGCAUGGUGGUGUGUGGAAAGAUUUAUCGGUUGGGGAUGGGCUCGCGGCCUAUCAGCUUGUUGGUGGGGUGAUGGCCUACCAAGGCGACGACGGGUAGCCGGCCUGAGAGGGUGACCGGCCACACUGGGACUGCGACACGGCCCAGACUCCUCCGGGAGGCAGCAGUGGGGAAUAUUGCACAAUGGGCGCAAGCCUGAUGCAGCGACGCCGCGUGAGGGAUGACGGCCUUCGGGUUGUAAACCUCUUUCAGUAGGGAAGAAGGCCUUCGGGUUGACGGUACCUGCAGAAGAAGCGCCGGCUAACUACGUG